GACGAACGCUGGCGGCGUGCUUAACACAUGCAAGUCGAACGGAAAGGCCCCUUUGGGGGUACUCGAGUGGCGAACGGGUGAGUAACACGUGAGUAACCUGCCCUUGACUUCGGGAUAACUUCAGGAAACUGGGGCUAAUACCGGAUAGGAAUCCUUGCUGCAUGGUGGGGGUUGGAAAGCUUCGGCGGUUUUGGAUGGACUCGCGGCUUAUCAGCUUGUUGGUGGGGUAGUGGCUUACCAAGGCUUUGACGGGUAGCCGGCCUGAGAGGGCGACCGGCCACAUUGGGACUGAGAUACGGCCCAGACUCCUACGGGAGGCAGCAGGGGGGAAUAUUGCACAAGGGGCGGAAGCCUGAUGCAGCAACGCCGCGUGCGGGAUGACGGCCUUCGGGUUGUAAACCGCUUUCAGCAGGGGCGAAGCUUGUGGUGACGGUACCUGCAGAAGAAGCACCGGCUAACUACGUG
rnacentral:rRNA from 1 species